AUGAGAACACUGAGACAAUGAAAGGUGAGGUAAUUUCCCAAAGGUCACACAUCUGGCAUGUGGCUUAGCUGGUGCUCAAAAGCCUGUCUGUCUAACUCAAAAGUCUGCAUUCUUUCCACUCUACCUAUGAUCUUAUGAAAAGAAUAUGCCAAUAAAACAUGAACUCGGGUAGCUGUUGCUCUGCUGUCUGUUUAUGGCUGUGAAUUGGAACUUCACGGACUCUCUCAUCCCCAGUCCACGCAAUCCAUACUUCGUGAUGACUAAUUAUGCUCCAGGAAUAGGCAGAGAUUCAGGCUACAAAAAGUGGCAGAAGUCAAAUCUGGUGAUCUCAAAGCUCACUCUGUGCAGAAUCUCUGAGAAGUCUAAUAUAAACUGAAUGAGGAUGAUGUGCAGACCAGGCCUGGGCCACAGACACUGGGCAUAUGUGUUGGAUUCUCAAUUCAGGACUGAGGAAAAUCAAACACAAAGAUGAUAUAUAUAUUCAAUUCUUUACCAUUGGCUCGGUCAUCUCUGCCUAUAAAAAUGAUCAUAUUAUCCUCUCUCCCACUGGAGCACUCCUAUCCUCAACUAUAAAAACUGCCUCGGACUCAACGGCAAUCCUUCCUCUGCUGUCAACUCUGUCACUCCUUGACACCUUGCAAUUUGGCUUCCGGUGAAAAUGUUUCUCAGAUGUUAUCAGUGAUUCCGCGUUGCCAAAUUCAAUGGCAUUUUGUCAGAACUCAUUGUCUUUAUGUGCUCUAAAGAAACCCAUAUUUCUGAUCACCCCUUCCUUUUGCACAUCAAUGUAUAAUAUAAUACAUCUACUGAUUAAAUACUCAUUUUACAAAACUCCUAAAUGCUAGAAGAGAGACACAGAUUUAAAAUCCAUAUUUUGUUCUUUGGACGAAAUUUUACACAAAGAAUAACACUGAGUACCAAAAUCUGGCAAAACUUUAAUAAAUGUGUCAAUUACUUAACCUAAAACUUAUGAUCUCACCUUAUCCAGUACCAAACUAAAUUUCCAGGCCCACCAUCUACAUAUCAUCGAACUUAAAUAUGUCCAGUGCUCUUUCCGUGCUAUUUUCUUCUAUCUUUAUCCCCCAUGCUACCUGGAAUUACAGCUAACCCUUGGUGCCCAGCUCUAAUGGCCUCUCUUGUGGGACUGGGUCCCUGGUUGCUUCAGGCUACGAUGAUCACCACCUUCUCUGAAUCACAGCAUUUUAUGUGACAGUCAUCAGAUAGUGCUUUAUGCCACAGUUUUCUAUAAUCCCUACUGUCUGAUUGACUGAAUAUAGGCCCUUAAAGUUAGGGAGCAGGUACCAUUCUUUCUAUUUUUGAGAGAAGCAGAAGCAUGCAGUGAUGGCCAUCCAUGUCUUCACACCUCCCUGUAUCCAAGCUCUCAGGGGGUCUCCUUCCACAGUAACCCUGGCUUGGCCAUGAGACUUGUUUCAUCCAAUGAGAUAUUAGCAGAUUUGAUGCAAGCAGAGGCUUCCUGAGCAUUUACAUCCUGGAGACUGUUUUCUUUUGCUGUUCUCUGGAACUCUGAAACCACUGCAUGGGCUAGCUUUGCGAAAGGUGAAACACUCCAUGAAACAGAAACAAGUUCACCCACCUGAGCACCCCCAAACCAACCAGACCCCAACCAAGACCCCAGCCUGAACAGAUCCACCAAGCUGACCCAGGCCAGAAGAACCACACUGCUGACCACAGUAUCAUGAGAAUAAAUGCUUGCUGUUUAAAGCCAUUACAGUUUCUGGUGAUGUAGGGGGAGGUGUUAAUGGAUGUACCGGGUAUCUGGCACACUGUAUUAUUCUGAAAUGAGUAAAGAAUACAAUUUUAAUAAAAUCUCUCUCAUCAUCCAAUUCUUACUUAGUAGAUUUUCUCUAGCCUAGAAAUUGAAAUACUCCAUAUGUCUGCAAAGGGUUUUCUAGUUUGUUUUGUAAAAUGAAAAAUCAAAAGGCAGCAAUUGUAAAAGACACAGUACAAAUAUUCUGUCUCUGCAGAUGGGGAUGUGACUUCAGGAUGCUCCAUUUACCAUCUUUGAGUCCUCGGGUAAAUACUGUAAACUUUCUAGACCUUUGUUUCCUUUUCUUAAAAUAAAUACAAUACCACUAACCUCACAGUAUUAGAGAAAAUACACAGUAAAUACCAAAUACAGGCUCUGGUGCAUUUCUUCAAUAACCAGGAGAUAUUAUCAUCAUACAUAAUUAUUAAUCUUAAAAUAAGAGAGCUGAAGCAGCUGAUCUCUAAAUGUGUUUCUGGUUGGGCACA
rnacentral:lncRNA from 1 species